rnacentral:lncRNA from 1 species
UUAUGGAGUUUCAGCUACUGAUCAUUGUGCAUGUUCUGCACAAAUUAUCCGACUUUUUGGUAUCUGAACAGAGUAAUACAGUGAGUGUGACUUCUCUUAUUGGAGGAACUUCUGAUAAUACGGGAUCUGGAGUUGCACGUCGAUUGGGUAAAUUGUUGUUAAAUUAUUAAAAAAUCUAAGUUUUUCUUUGUUGAGGUGCCUCUGCUGACUCGUUCGUAUGCUUCUCAGUUCUGAAGACUGGCCUUAAUAUCAUUCUUGCUUGUGACCUUCCAAAGAACAGCCCAAUGCUUGAGGUUCUCUCUUUCUCACUCUCUCUCUUGUAUUUCCAUACAUCCUCAAAUUUUUUAGUAACAAAUUGCAAUUUAAAUACUGCACUUGUAUCUCAAAAUGACUGAAAUUGUGAAUUUCUUCUACCCUUCUUGUUAAGAAAUCAGCUUCGUUAUUAUUUUGACUGUUUACCCAAUUUUCACAUUUCUUUCUGUGUUGGGAUGUUCAGGCAGAUGCUGAGAAAAGGCUGGUGCAAAAGCUAAUUAGUCUAGGUUACACAAAGCCACAAGUGUAAAGGACAAUUUCCAUGGAGGAGCUUCGUCGUAGCAAUAUAUCUUACACUGCCGUGAAAUGGUUCUUUGGUUUCGUUUUUCUGGUUGAGUUCUCCAUAAUUUAUCAAAGAAAGAGAUGUGUAGUUGCAGGUGCCUCUAUCUAUACCCUUGGGGUAUAGCUUUAUCUUGGUUCUGCAAUUUGUAACAAAGAAAGGACAUUUUAGUUCUGAGACGUAGUAACAUUCCAAAAGAGAUGAUAAUGUUACUGGCUUUGUUUGGCAGCAAUGUACGAAUGGACUUCUUGAACUUGGGUUAGUUCUUGAUUUUCAAGGUGUGUUUAUAACUAAUGACAUCCUUUAUCUUUGAUUCAAAUGCCUUCGAAAUAUCUUUAUUUUUGUUUCGAUGUGGGUAAAGAGCUG